rnacentral:rRNA from 1 species
GACGAACGCUGGCGGCGUGCUUAACACAUGCAAGUCGAACGGUAAGGCCCUUCGGGGUACACGAGUGGCGAACGGGUGAGUAACACGUGGGUGAUCUGCCCUGCACUUCGGGAUAAGCCUGGGAAACUGGGUCUAAUACCGGAUAGGACCACUGCCUGCAUGGGUGGUGGUGGAAAGCUUUUGCGGGGUGGGAUGGGCCCGCGGCCUAUCAGCUUGUUGGUGGGGUGAUGGCCUACCAAGGCGACGACGGGUAGCCGGCCUGAGAGGGUGACCGGCCACACUGGGACUGGGAUACGGCCCAGACUCCUACGGGAGGCAGCAGUGGGGAAUAUUGCACAAUGGGCGCAAGCCUGAUUCAGCGACGCCGCGUGAGGGAUGGCGGCCUUCGGGUUGUAAACCUCUUUCAGCAUCGACGAAGCGCAAGUGACGGUAGGUGCAGAAGAAGGACCGGCCAACUACGUGCCAGCCGCCGCAGUAA